AGUAACAGGUGGAAAACCUGCCCUUCAGUGGGGGAUAACAGUUCUAACGAGCUGCUAAUACCGCAUACAACCUUUGGAUCGCAUGGUCCGAAGGUGAAAGGUGGCCUCUCUUUGAAGCUGCCGUUGAAGGAUGGUUCCGCCUCCCAUUAGCUUGUUGGUGGGGUAAUGGCCUACCAAGGCGACGAUGGGUAGCCGGCCUGAGAGGGUGUCCGGCCACACUGGGACUGAGAUACGGCCCAG
rnacentral:rRNA from 1 species